AACGAACGCUGGCGGCAGGCCUAACACAUGCAAGUCGAGCGCGCCCUUCGGGGUGAGCGGCGGACGGGUGAGUAACGCGUGGGAACGUGCCCUUCUCUGCGGAAUAGCCUCGGGAAACUGAGAGUAAUACCGCAUACGCCCUUUGGGGGAAAGAUUUAUCGGAGAAUGAUCGGCCCGCGUUGGAUUAGGUAGUUGGUGGGGUAAUGGCCCACCAAGCCGACGAUCCAUAGCUGGUUUGAGAGGAUGAUCAGCCACACUGGGACUGAGACACGGCCCAGACUCCUACGGGAGGCAGCAGUGGGGAAUCUUAGACAAUGGGGGCAACCCUGAUCUAGCCAUGCCGCGUGAGUGAUGAAGGCCUUAGGGUUGUAAAGCUCUUUCAGCUGGGAAGAUAAUGACGGUACCAGCAGAAGAAGCCCCGGCUAACUCCGUG
rnacentral:rRNA from 1 species